rnacentral:rRNA from 1 species
UUGGUCAAUGGGCGCAGGCCUGAACCAGCCAAGUAGCGUGAAGGAUGACUGCCCUAUGGGUUGUAAACUUCUUUUAUAAAGGAAUAAAGUCGGGUAUGUAUACCCGUUUGCAUG